rnacentral:rRNA from 1 species
UCAUUUGUUGCUUAAUUGGUAACUGGUAUGAAAGGUUGAACUGNNUCCAUUAGUUUGUAAAUUUUAUUAAGAAAUUUAAGUCAAGGUAAGAAUUCUUUGAUUUUCUAGGGGACGAUAAGACCCUAGAAGCUUUAUAUGACGAGUGUCUUUUAGUAAUAGAGGAUAAUGUAAUUGACUGGGGCGGUUUGAGUAGUUGAACUAUUUUGUUUUAAAUUGAUCCUUUAAAUAAAGAUAUUUUGGGUAAGUUACUCUAGGGAUAACAGUGCUAUAUUUUUGGAGAGACCUUAUCGAUAAAAAUGUUUGCAACCUCGAUGUUGAAUUAGAAUGUCUAAAUGAAGCAUAAAGUAUUUAAGAGGGUUUGUUCAACCUUUAAAAUUCUACAU